rnacentral:tRNA from 1 species
GACCCCAUCGUCUAAUGGUUAGGACACUAGGUUUUCAUCCUAGCAAUCGGAGUUCGACUCUCCGUGGGGUCG